UACGGAGGGAGCUAGCGUUGUUCGGAUAUACUGGGCGUAAAGCGCACGUAGGCGGCGCAGCAAGUCAGGGGUGAAAUCCCGGAGCUCAACUCCGGAACUGCCUUUGAAACUGGAGAUCUUGAGUCCGGAAGAGGUAAGUGGAACUGCGAGUGUAGAGGUGAAAUUCGUAGAUAUUCGCAAGAACACCAGUGGCGAAGGCGGCUUACUGGUCCGGAACUGACGCUGAGGUGCGAAAGCGUGGGGAGCAAACAGG
rnacentral:rRNA from 1 species